UUCGGAAUUAUUGGGCGUAAAGGGCGCGUAGGCGGCUGUACAAGUCAAAGGUGAAAUCCCUCGGCUCAACUGAGGAACUGCCUUUGAAACUGUACGGCUUGAGGCCGGGAGGGGGUAGCGGAAUUCCCAGUGUAGCGGUGAAAUGCGUAGAUACUGGGAGGAACACCAGUGGCGAAGGCGGCUACCUGGACCGGUUCUGACGCUGAGGCGCGAAAGCGUGGGUAGCAAACAGG
rnacentral:rRNA from 1 species